CUUCGUGCGAUGUAGGUAGAGCAGCCAGAGGCACGGAGCUUUGCACGACAUAGGGCGAGCGGCGUGGAGCUUCAUGCGACGUAGGUAGAGUGGCCAGAGGCGCGGAGCUUGGCACAACGUAGGUAGAGCGGCCAGAGGCGCGGAGCUUGGCACAACGUAGGUAGAGCGGCCAGAGGCGCGGAGCUUGGCGCGACGUAGGUAGAACGGCCAGAGGCGCGGAGCUUCGCGCGACGUAGGUAGAGCGGCCAGAGGCGCGGAGCUUGGCGCGACGUAGGUAGAGCGGCUAGAGGCGCGGAGCUUGGCGCGACGUAGGUAGAGCGGCCAGAGGCGCGGAGCUUGGCGCGACGUAGGUAGAGCGGCCAGAGGCGCGGAGCUUCGCGCGACGUAGGUAGAGUGGCCAGAGGUGCGGAGCUUCGUGCGACGUAGGUAGAGCGACGCAGUGUCAGUGUAGACACCUCAUUUAGUGUCUACAUUGGACUUGGUAUCACACAACAUUUUGAUUAAAAAGCUAGAAUGAUAUAAAAUGAACCUGUCCCACAGGAAAUGGAUUAAAAACUGGCUAAGUGGUAGAUCUCAAAAGGUAAUUGUAAAUGGGGGUUCUCAUUAUCAAGCGAGUUUGUUUCCAGUUGGGUCCCACCAGGAUGGGGUCUUGGAGUGGUGAAUAACGAAGAGGACAAGUCAGUGAUACAGUGAUCUGAAGCACUAUACAUUUCAGUACGGCUAAAUGUAAAUGUAUCACUCAGAAUAAAGGAUGCAGGCCCCAGUUACAGGUGUCAUGGUGGACAAUCAGCUGGACAUGAGCUUCCAGUGUAACACUGGCCAGAAGGGCUAAUGCCAUCCUGGGAGCACAAACAGGAGAAUCUCGAGUAGGAGCAGAGAGGUUAUUGUGCCUGUGUUUGGCACUGGUGCGACUGCUGCUGGGAUCCUGUAUCCAGGUCUGAUGCCCACAAUUCAAGGAGGGGGUUGAUAAAUUGGAGAGGGGUCAGAGAAGAGCCGCAAGAAUGAUUAAAAGAUUACAAAACGUAUAGCGAUAGACUCAAAGAGCUCAAUCUAAUCCUUUUAAGGGAAAGCUAAGAAGUAACUUGAUUUAUUUAUUUAUUUGUCGUACGUAAUCUGGUCAAGCCAAGCCCCAGUGUCCUUAUCAACACUGUUUGAGGCAUGAAGACUCCCGGAAGUUUAGUCAUUUUGCAUCCUCAGCAAUGUUGCUGCCCACACUGACAGAGUGACUGGCUCUAAAACACCACUGAAAUUCUGCUGCAGCACAAAUUCUACAUCCAGUAUGAAAGCAGUUGAGAAGGCUCUAUUGCUUUGGGAGGGGAGGGAUAGCUCAGUGGUUUGAGCACUCACCUGCUUAAACCCAGGGUUGUGAAUUCAAUCCUUGAAAGGGUAAUCUGGGCCAAAAAUUGGUCCUGCUAGUGAAGGCAGAGGGCUGGACUCAAUGACCUUUCAAGAUCCCUUCCAGUUCUAGGAGAUUGGUAUAUCUUCAAUUAUUAGCUUUGCCUUUGUGGUAAAUCAAACCUGGGUUGAUGUUAAGUGGGGUCAGAGACAAGCUAAUUAUUUGUCACUUUCUCUGCCAACCAUGAAGCUCGCCACACAUCCUCUACUGUAAAUCCCUCACUUGGUAAACUUACCCACAGUGGACACCAUGAGGGCAGAUGACCAUGUGGCAGAUUAAACAAGUCUUUAGUUGAUGGUAGAUGUGGCAUAUCACACAAUUUCAUCAUAAGCUUUGCUACACUUUUCUCUCUACAAACACUGGGUGGAGCAAUAUUGCAGAGAACCAGUAAUCAUGGCUGAGGAGUAUAUUUAAGUGUACCCGAAAUAAUAUGCAUGGUGGAAUUAAGUCGUAUGUUGAUCGUUGUUGCGUGAGACGAGCGAGCCCAGACUGGAGCGCAGUGCUCUGCCAAUGAGUGCCAAGGCUAAUGUGUGUAAUGUUUGGGCACUGGUGCCCCAUGGCGUUCUGGCCAGCUUUCUGAGCAGUUGUGUGUUUUGACCCUAUUUGCUGUUUUUGUAAGAUGAUCACAAUAUGUAAAAGGGGGAUUGUGGCAGGGUGGACUUAGGUCCAGGAGCCCCUGCUGGAGGCCCUGCCGCCCUGUGUCACCCUGCCCCAGAAUAGAGCAGUGAGGAGUCCUCCAGGCAGCCUAGAGCGGCUGCAGAGGAGUGGCCAAUCAGAGGGGCUGCUGGACCGACCAAUAAGGGACCAGAAGGGUCAGAUAAAAGGCAAUCAGCAGACCAGAGCCUUCAUUGCUGUGUGGAGC